rnacentral:piRNA from 1 species
UCCAGUGGAAGGUAUUAAAAAUGUUUUCCA